ACCUGGAAGCGCCGCGGCGCCGCUAUCGAGCUUCCUGCAGCGGUGGCCACCCGAGCAAGUGCCGUGGCGGGGGCGGAGAGCGGCCACGGCGGCGGCGCCUCCCCAAGUGGCCCGUUGCGUCCGACCCCGCGUGAAAGAUAUCAAGUUAUUCUAGUACAACCAUAUAAAUAAAUAAUACCUGAAGUCUCAGUGUAACAUGGACAAUUAACAGUGAUGACAGAUAAAUACAGACGCAUGGGGAUCAAAUACUAGGCAAAACGCUUUUUAAAAGUGUAUCAGGCUUUUAAGAAACACUGCAGGAUCCUGUCUAUCUUAAUGCUGAUAGAGCUCAGCUAAAAAUUUAGGAGGUUCUAGUAUUCUUCAUGGCUGAAGCUGAGAGAGUCUGAAACCCUGAUGCUUAAGCUCCAUUCUAGAUCAUAGCUCCAACUCCUUCAGGAUAUAAGGAAAAGAGAUUAUAUUUCCACAAUGAUAGAUCUUUGGUUGUACAGGUUUCCCAAUGAGUGGAUCAUGAUGACCGUAUUGUAGGGACUUGCCAUAGUAUGGCUGCUUCCCGAUCUACUCGUGUUACAAGAUCAACAGUGGGGUUAAACGGCUUGGAUGAAUCUUUUUGUGGUAGAACUUUAAGGAAUCGUAGCAUUGCGCAUCCUGAAGAAAUCUCUUCUAAUUCUCAAGUACGAUCAAGAUCACCAAAGAAGAGACCAGAGCCUGUGCCAAUUCAGAAAGGAAAUAAUAAUGGGAGAACCACUGAUUUAAAACAGCAGAGUACCCGAGAAUCAUGGGUAAGCCCUAGGAAAAGAGGACUUUCUUCUUCAGAAAAGGAUAACAUAGAAAGGCAGGCUAUAGAAAAUUGUGAGAGAAGGCAAACAGAACCUGUUUCACCAGUUUUAAAAAGAAUUAAGCGUUGUCUUAGAUCUGAAGCACCAAACAGUUCAGAAGAAGAUUCUCCUAUAAAAUCAGACAAGGAGUCAGUAGAACAGAGGAGUACAGUAGUGGACAAUGAUGCAGAUUUUCAAGGGACUAAACGAGCUUGUCGAUGUCUUAUACUGGAUGAUUGUGAGAAAAGGGAAAUUAAAAAGGUGAAUGUCAGUGAGGAAGGGCCACUUAAUUCUGCAGUAGUUGAAGAAAUCACAGGCUAUUUGGCUGUCAAUGGUGUUGAUGACAGUGAUUCAGCUGUUAUAAACUGUGAUGACUGUCAGCCUGAUGGGAACACUAAACAAAAUAGCAUUGGUUCCUAUGUGUUACAGGAAAAAUCAGUAGCUGAAAAUGGGGAUACGGAUACCCAAACUUCAAUGUUCCUUGAUAGUAGGAAGGAGGACAGUUAUAUAGACCAUAAGGUGCCUUGCACAGAUUCACAAGUGCAGGUCAAGUUGGAGGACCACAAAAUAGUAACUGCCUGCUUGCCUGUGGAACAUGUUAAUCAGCUGACUACUGAGCCAGCUACAGGGCCCUUUUCUGAAACUCAGUCAUCUUUAAGGGAUUCUGAGGAGGAAGUAGAUGUGGUGGGAGAUAGCAGUGCCUCAAAAGAGCAGUGUAAAGAAAACACCAAUAACGAACUGGACACAAGUCUUGAGAGUAUGCCAGCCUCCGGAGAACCUGAACCAUCUCCUGUUCUAGACUGUGUUUCAGCUCAAAUGAUGUCUUUAUCAGAACCUCAAGAACAUCGUUAUACUCUGAGAACCUCACCACGAAGGGCAGCCCCUACCAGAGGUAGUCCCACUAAAAACAGUUCUCCUUACAGAGAAAAUGGACAAUUUGAGGAGAAUAAUCUUAGUCCUAAUGAAACAAAUGCAACUGUUAGUGAUAAUGUAAGUCAAUCUCCUACAAAUCCUGGUGAAAUUUCUCAAAAUGAAAAAGGGAUAUGUUGUGACUCUCAAAAUAAUGGAAGUGAAGGAGUAAGUAAACCACCCUCAGAGGCAAGACUCAAUAUUGGACAUUUGCCAUCUGCCAAAGAGAGUGCCAGUCAGCACAUUACAGAAGAGGAAGAUGAUGAUCCUGAUGUUUAUUACUUUGAAUCAGAUCAUGUGGCACUGAAACACAACAAAGAGUAUGUGUAAAUAUGUUAUCAGAGACUAUUACAGACGAUUGCUGUACUCGAGGCUCAGCGUUCUCAAGCAGUCCAAGACCUUGAAAGUUUAGGCAGGCACCAGAGAGAAGCACUGAAAAAUCCCAUUGGAUUUGUGGAAAAACUCCAGAAGAAGGCUGAUAUUGGGCUUCCAUAUCCACAGAGAGUUGUUCAAUUGCCUGAGAUCGUAUGGGACCAAUAUACCCAUAGCCUUGGGAAUUUUGAAAGAGAAUUUAAAAAUCGUAAAAGACAUACUAGAAGAGUUAAGCUAGUUUUUGAUAAAGGUUUACCUGCUAGACCAAAAAGUCCUUUAGAUCCUAAGAAGGAUGGAGAGUCCCUUUCAUAUUCUAUGUUGCCUUUGAGUGAUGGUCCAGAAGGCUCAAGCAGUCGUCCUCAGAUGAUAAGAGGACGCUUGUGUGAUGAUACCAAACCUGAAACAUUUAACCAGUUGUGGACUGUUGAAGAACAGAAAAAGCUGGAACAGCUACUCAUCAAAUACCCUCCUGAAGAAGUAGAAUCUCGACGCUGGCAGAAGAUAGCAGAUGAAUUGGGCAACAGGACAGCAAAACAGGUUGCCAGCCGAGUACAGAAGUAUUUCAUAAAGCUAACUAAAGCUGGCAUUCCAGUACCAGGCAGAACACCAAACUUAUAUAUAUACUCCAAAAAGUCUUCAACAAGCAGACGACAGCACCCUCUUAAUAAGCAUCUCUUUAAGCCUUCCACUUUCAUGACUUCACAUGAACCGCCAGUGUAUAUGGAUGAAGAUGAUGACCGAUCUUGUUUUCAUAGCCACAUGAACACUGCUGUUGAAGAUGCAUCAGAUGACGAAAGUAUUCCUAUCAUGUAUAGGAAUUUACCUGAAUAUAAAGAACUAUUACAGUUUAAAAAGUUAAAGAAGCAGAAACUUCAGCAAAUGCAAGCUGAAAGUGGAUUUGUGCAACAUGUGGGCUUUAAGUGUGAUAACUGUGGCAUAGAACCCAUCCAGGGUGUUCGGUGGCAUUGCCAGGAUUGUCCUCCAGAAAUGUCUUUGGAUUUCUGUGAUUCUUGUUCAGACUGUCUACAUGAAACAGAUAUUCACAAGGAAGAUCACCAAUUAGAACCUAUUUAUAGGUCAGAGACAUUCUUAGACAGAGACUACUGUGUGUCUCAGGGCACCAGUUACAAUUACCUUGACCCAAACUACUUUCCAGCAAACAGAUGACAUGGAAGAGAACAUCAUUUACUAGUCCUCUUCAACACAUAGCAAUGGUAUCAUUGUUAAUUAUGUGCACAGUUUGGAAAGAUUCUCUGCUUUCCCAGAAAUGACACUCACAGCAUGAGAGCUUCCUGAGUGUUCUCGUCAAGUACAGCUCUGCACCGUUGUGGCUCUAGAUCACUGUUCAGCAGCUGAACAUUCCUGGUGAGCAAAGGUUUCCCUGGUGAAUUUUUCACCACUGCGUUUUAGGUGGUGAUCUUAAAUGGGUGAGAUGGAACGAGAGCACACAUUAAAGAGAGAGUAAAUUCCAAAGGUUUCAAAGAACUUGGUCAUAAAUAUGAUAAUGAGAAGACAAAGUAUUUAUAUUAAAACAGUUUAGUAGCCUUCAGUUUUGUGAAAAUAGUUUUCAGCACAGAAACUGACUUCUUUAGACAAAGUUUUAACCAAUGAUGGUGUUUGCUUCUAGGAUAUACACUUUAAAAGAACUCACUGUCCCAGUGGUGGUCAUUGAUGGCCUUUAGUAAAUUGGAGCUGCUUAAUCAUAUUGAUAUCUAAUUUCUUUUAACCACAAUGAAUUGUCCUUAAUUACCAACAGUGAAGCACUACAGGAGGCAACUGUGGCAUUGCUUCCUUAACCAGCUCAUGGUGUGUGAAUGUUAUAAAAUUGUCACUCAGAUAUAUUUUUUAAAUGUAAUGUUAUAUAAGAUGAUCAUGUGAUGUGUACAAACUAUGGUGAAAAGUGCCAGUGGUAGUAACUGUGUAAAGUUUCUAAUUCACAACAUUAAUUCCUUUAAAAUACACAGCCUUCUGCCUCUGUAUUUGGAGUUGUCAGUACAACUCAUCAAAGAAAACUGCCUAAUAUAAAAAUCAUAUAUAUGGUAAUAAUUUCCCUCUUUUGUAGUCUGCACAAGAUCCAUAAAAGAUUGUAUUUUUAUUACUAUUUAAACAAGUGAUUAAAUUUAGUCUGCACAGUGAGCAAGGGUUCACAUGCAUUCUUUUAUACUGCUGGAUUUUGUUGUGCAUCAUUUAAAACAUUUUGUAUGUUUCUUCUUAUCUGUGUAUACAGUAUGUUCUUGAAUGAUGUUCAUUUGUCAGGAGAACUGUGAGAAAUAAACUAUGUGGAUACUGUCUGUUUAUAUUAUAGAAUGCUUGUUGUGACUUCCUUUUGGUUAGAUUUUGGAUUUUUUUUUUUACCAGUGUUAAAACCAGAAAUUGGUAUUUUUUAAAAUGGUUUGCUUCACAUAUUUAAGAGUUUUCUUUCUGUCAUUUAUGAAGAAUAAGGAAUGUAUUAUGGAAAAGAGGGUGAUCUUAAGCAACCCUGUAAAAAAUGGUAAAGAUUUUUACUCAGUGUGUGCUGAAACACUAAAUUAAACUAGCUUACAAAAAGGAAACACGGACCAUGGUUAAAGAAAAAGGCAAUUAUUAAUGCUCAGGUGUGAAAACUAAAGUUGAAAAUUUUUUUUCUAGUUGUGUCUCAUGAAGAUAAGCCCCCAUGUAUUUAAACAGAUGGCUUUUGAAAAAUCACCUUGUUUCCUGGAAAUUACUAUUAACUAUAGGAAAAGAUAGUAUAAAUAUUCUAAGAUUGAUUGUUAUAUUUGACCCAAUUUUUAGAAUCACCUGUUUUUUCCUAUUUUAAAUCAAGGGAACAUUAUUUACUAGUUCUCUUCAGUACAUAGCAGGGUACUAAAAUCAUACCCUGAAUUUUUUUUAAUUGAGAAAAGUAAUAGAAUUUUAAAUAUAGAAAUAUGAGAAUUUUAAAGUAAUAUAUUGAUUAAAGAUCACUGAUGAUAUAGAUAUAAUAUAUCAUAACAGAAGGAAAGUAAAUGGACUUGAGCUUAACUUCUCACCCUGGAAUUAUUAGUGGGUGAAGAGGGGAAUCAUUAGCAUUCUGGGCGUUUUUAUAUUAAAUGUUUUGUGAAUAUGCCAGAAGAUCUGCCUUCAACUUGUAAUUAGGCAAGAUAGUAAUGCUUGAUGGUAACUUCUAUGUUUGUGUAGAAAUAAUACCAGUUAGUUUUGGAAAGCCAUUCAGAUCCAUUCAAAAAUUCCAUAAAGUAUGAUGUAUGCUUUGGAAGAGGGAUAUGAGUGAUACAAUUGUUAUAUAAAUGGAAUAGACAAACCAUUUGAAUGCAUUUUUCUAGGGCAAACAUUUUUUGAGAUUUUUGAGUUAAGAAGAUUUUUCGGCUUGAGCAGAAGAUGUGUUUGUUUUGCAUUUUUCAGCUCCAAGGAAACAGCCCCCAUGGCUUUAAAAGGCCCUGAAGUUCAGAUAGUAGUAGGUAGUGUUUUGUUAUUGUUUUAAUUUGAGAGUUGCAGGAAUAAUGGGCAGAGCUGUCAUUUGCCGGUAGGCUACCAUCUGCCUACAUAGAAUUAUUGGACUGUAAGCUAAAACAGACUGUAAAAGACCUACUUGCUAAAGCAUUGCUUAUUCAGUGGUAUUCAGUAGAUAAGAUCUAUUUCCUGAUAUAUUGUGCUCAAGUUAUUUGCACAUCUUAAGAAACUUUUAAUAUCUAAAACCAUUGUUGUAAGAUUUAGGUAGAGGAGGUUUCCUUUUGUGUGAUGCAUAAUAAUAGAAAACACUGAUACAGUGUUUACUAUGUGCCAAGCAAGCAUAUGAUAACUAAUUCUUAACAACUCUAUGAGGCAGGGUCAUUUAUUAUCCUGUUGUCAUAUGAGGAAAUCUCGCCAGAGAGAAGUUAAUUAACCUGCCCAAGGUCGUAUAGUUAGUAAAGUGGUCAUGCUUGGAUUUUAACCUAGGCAGAUUACUUCAGAGUCAGCGUCUGCCUUACUAUCCUGUUUCCUGAGCAGGAAUUUCCCCUUGUGUCAGGCAACACUAGGUGUUAGGAGUGGAGGUGUGCAGAUGUUGCCUUACAUUCUGUUUUCCUGAUGUGGUGUGCUUCCUAAGAGUACAAACCUGAGCAUAUGUCCAGGCUUGCAAAGUCUCAGGCAAAGCUGGGACUAAGGCUUGUGUUUCCUGCCUUGGGUAGGAUUUUCUUCUAUGCAUGUUGGGUGCUUCUCACUUAACCUAAUAGUAUGCCUUGUCUGUUUUCCCCCCUUCCCCUUUUUGUUUAAAUUGAUUCACAGAACACAAAAAUUUACUAGGUAUGAACAUUUGAAAAAAUGGAAUAGAGAAAAUGGUACAUCACAUGUAAUAAAGAUAAAUAUUGUUUUGUGAAAUGUCUUUUUCAAUCAUAAAUAUGUGUUGUGUGCUAUAUAAAACUAUUUCUUAUUGUGGA